rnacentral:rRNA from 1 species
AUUGAACGCUGGCGGAAUGCUUUACACAUGCAAGUCGAACGGCAGCACGGGGCAACCUGGUGGCGAGUGGCGAACGGGUGAGUAAUACAUCGGAACGUGCCCAAUCGUGGGGGAUAACGUAGCGAAAGUUACGCUAAUACCGCAUACGAUCUACGGAUGAAAGCGGGGGAUCGCAAGACCUCGCGCGAAUGGAGCGGCCGAUGUCAGAUUAGGUAGUUGGUGGGGUAAAGGCUCACCAAGCCGACGAUCUGUAGCUGGUCUGAGAGGACGACCAGCCACACUGGGACUGAGACACGGCCCAGACUCCUACGGGAGGCAGCAGUGGGGAAUUUUGGACAAUGGGCGCAAGCCUGAUCCAGCCAUUCCGCGUGCAGGAUGAAGGCCUUCGGGUUGUAAACUGCUUUUGUACGGAACGAAACGGUCUGCCCUAAUACGGUGGGCGUAAUGACGGUACCGUAAGAAUAAGCACCGGCUAACUACGUGCCAGCAGCCGCGGUAAAGUACUA